CAUCUCAGCGGCCAUUAUCUCUUGAAACCAAAAUCCCACAAUUCUCACUUAUGCGGUGUGACCUUAGAUUCCUGCUCCACACCUUCCCAGUCAUGCUGAAUCACUCGGUGAGAGUACUCCAGAGAUGCAAGGCAGGAAAGACAACUUCAGAUUUAUGGCUCCUGACUGCCAGAGCCCUAUUUACUUAAAGCUCAUGAAGAAGAUGACAUCAUUGAGCUGAGUGCUGGGAUGAUUACAGAGGAAGAUGCCACCACUCUGGACUUUUACUUGGAAUCUGGGGAUUUGUAUACAGAUCCUCACAAGUGCAUAACAAGUGUUUUACAAACUGAGCUGUCACUCCAGCCUGAGAGCACUGAGAUUUUGACACUCAGUCUUGAACAUUGGGUUCACAGCAUCUCAGCUGACAGCACGUGGCAGAGGUUACAAGGAGCCAGGGUAAUGGCUGUAAAAGGAGGGAGGGAAGAGGUUUAGGCUGCUUGGCAUCAAUGGUGGAUUGGAAGUCAGAGGACCCCAGAUGCCACCCCUAGACCUCACAGCUGGUGAGAACUUGGUAGCUUCCUGAGUUCUGAAGUUCCAACUUUUGCUUUCAGGUGCUACUGGUCUCUUGGGAGCAGGGGGUGUCCUCAGUAAAACACAGUACCUUAGGUAGACAAUAGUGGGACCUUCUUGGACUUGACAUCAGUUUAAUGAAUAAACACAUGGACACUCAUACAUUUUUAACCUUAGGCCUUUUGCCUGGGCUUCCUCCCAGCCAGCUCAUCUAACUUAAUCUUAUUAUUCUAGACCACAUCCCACCAUGUGACUAGUCCUUUACCUCUUUUCUGGCAGUUUCCUGGAGCAGGAGUCCUCGAGUUAAAACAAAUUGCCCACUGUUUCCACAAGGACUAAGUAAUGAUUGCCUCUUUCCUAGAAUACAAAACUGAAUUUGGAAAUCAAAGGUGAUUUUUUUUUUUUACCCCAUUUGAACAAACCGUUCAGUCCUGCAAAGAACUUUAGAAGAAACCUCAGUGGACCCUGGAGGCAAAACCCAAACAAGAACUAGUCUGCUCCCUUGUCUAAAACUGCGUUCCUGAAAUGGCUCAUGGCUGUCAUUAAUGAGGUUAGUAUUCUAGUUCAAAAUUACUUAGGAAACAUUAUCAGUACUAUUUUCUUGUUGCUAUUGUCCAGCUGUUUGCACCCUAGGAUAUCUGUGAAUAUGACCAACACAUUCUUUGAUUGCCUUUAAUUAAAAAAAAAAAAAUCCAAUGGCCAGUUAGCUGGGCAGGAAGUGGAAGGUGGGACUUCCUGUGCAAAAGGAACCGUGGGAAGAAGAAGUAGGAAGGUCCUGGUCCCCAGGAGACCUGAGAGGAGACUGACUUGAUCACAGGUUUUGAAGGGACAGCUAGCCACAUGGUUGUAUGGGACUAGGUAAUCAGGUUAACUUACAUGAGCUAUUAUUAUUAUGAGAGUCUAUCUGCUAAGGCCUAAGGUUUUCAAAUACUAAAAGGUCUCUGUGUGGUUAUUUGAGAAAAAGCUGGUUAAGGGAUAAUUGCUACCAUAUUAAUUUCUAGCAAUCUUAGUAUUUACAGGGCAUUAGAUUUCUAAUACAUAGAACUUUAAAGAAACACAUUCAAAAGACAGCAGCACUAGAUUCAAUUUCCAUGUACCUCAGCAUAAUUUUCAGCCUGUAUCAGACUUUAGGGUUUUUGUUUGUUUGUUUGUUUUACCUUUUGAGUUUGAAGAAUCCCAGAGAGGGGCUGUCUGUGUCUUUGGCUGUGUUCAGACUGGUAGUGACAAAGGGGACUUGGAAAUUAAGCCUUCGGAAAUGAGACAAUACUUCUCAAAAUAGUCCAAGGGUUUUGGUUUUGUUGUUGUUGUUGUUUCUUCUCCUUAAAGCAGAGGGAUAGGGUCUAGAAAAAUGUCCCGGAGAGCUCAGGUUUGCCUGGAUGGUUUGUUAAACUGUUUCCUUUCUCUUUGAGGUUUCUCACACCAUUAGCGGGCUGGCCUGGGCUACCCACGGAGGAUUUAUUCAGUAGUGUUCCUAUUGAUUACAGUGAUUACAGAAUUGCCCUGACUUGGAAUUCACCAAGACUUUUAUCAAUACACAAGAUAAGCACAAGGCUUUAUCUAUAAGAUGUUCCAUCUUCUGCUCUCAUUUGCUUAUUAGCUGAUUUCUAAAGCAAUAGCAAGCUGGGGACCAAACCAAGCUAUGGGUUGUAGAGUCAGAGUUUGACCACAAGGUCAGUGCAGGGAGUGGGAUGACACAUGUGCGGGAAAGAAGGGACACUGGGGAAUGUCUCAUCCGCUGCUUCACUUACUCUCAGUAUCUCUCCAGACACCACGACCGCCGUGUUUUCAUAGGGAACUGGAGGCUGAGGUUCCAUUUAUUCCUUACAGUUGCAAAGUUCAUCAGCAGAGGAACUGAAAUUUGAAUUCAAGCCAACCUCUUCCUUCCAGCCUUACUGCUUUCCAGAAUAAGAUCCAACCCUUCCAAGAGGUGGAAGGGUGAAGACAGGCUUCGCUUAUCUUGCAAAUAUGUGGUAAUGGCUGUGCAGAGGGAGCUGUGUGGUCACUGAAGGACACAGUCACAUUUGGAUAGUCUGAAUGUCUGUGUUUCUUUGGGAGUUGAAAAGUCCCCUCUCUGUACUGUGUGCAUUGUAAACUCAGUAAAGGCUGAGAAGAGUCUGGGCAGAACUCAGCUCUGGAAAAGUCACUACCUUUAUGGUUAAAGAUUGAUUAUGCGACUACAGUGCACUGGGCAUAAAAAUAGACCCAACCUUUGUCCUCAGGAAUCUAGAAUAAACACACAAGAUUUAUGGUCAGAGCACUUGAUGGCUUUCUGUCAGUGACUGUUUUAAGAGCAUUUUUGUUUCAGAAUUCUAGCAAGCAGGGUUGAGAAAUGUGGUCCUCAAGGAACUAUUUUUCAUUCUGUCUUAAAUAAUUUUUAAUGUGUUGAAUGCAUAUGUAAUUGUGCUUAUUAUAUUAUUGUUCAUCAUUUAAAACAAAUAUUCCAAAAAUGUCUACCUUUUAAAAUUAGUUGUCGAACAUCUAUCUAUCUACGUUUAUUUAUAUUCCUCAUAAAAAUGGGCCUUUGGAAGCUUGGAUAAUUCUCAACAAGGUGGCUCUUACUUAAACUCUCCAUAUUGGGGAAGCUGAGGCAGGAGGAUUAAGAGUACAGUGAGGCUCAAACACCACUUCCCCACCCCCCAAAAGAAAAAAGACAAACACUAGUUUAAGGAAUUUUUGAUGGAGUCCACACAGCAGGGCAGUGAUGGGUAAGCUAGGCUAGGAGAUGGUAAAAAACAAAGUUUAUUUGCAAACUCGCAAAUGAAACCUAAUUCUCUAACCUCUAACUCUCUAAACCUAAUUUCUGCACUGACAACAUACUUAAAAAAAAAAAAAAAGAAAAAGAAAAAGAAUGUUUCCAAUUAAAAAAAAAUCAGAAUUACUGCCUGU
rnacentral:lncRNA from 1 species